UAGGGAAUCUUCCGCAAUGGGCGAAAGCCUGACGGAGCAACGCCGCGUGAGUGAUGAAGGGUUUCGGCUCGUAAAACUCUGUUAUUAGGGAAGAACAAAUGUGUAAGUAACUGUGCACAUCUUGACGGUACCUAAUCAGAAAGCCACGGCUAACUACGUGCCAGCAGCCGCGGUAAUACGUAGGUGGCAAGCGUUAUCCGGAAUUAUUGGGCGUAAAGCGCGCGUAGGCGGUUUCUUAAGUCUGAUGUGAAAGCCCACGGCUCAACCGUGGAGGGUCAUUGGAAACUGGGAAACUUGAGUGCAGAAGAGGAAAGUGGAAUUCCAUGUGUAGCGGUGAAAUGCGCAGAGAUAUGGAGGAACACCAGUGGCCAAGGCGACUUUCUGGUCUGUAACUGACGCUGAUGUGCGAAAGCGUGGGGAUCAAACAGG
rnacentral:rRNA from 1 species